rnacentral:lncRNA from 1 species
AUGAUACAUCUCGAUAUGUUGCUUGCCAUUUUCGUCAAGCAUUCUUUUCAAUGGUGCAGAGGAAUUGCAACCUUUGAGAUGGAGUAUGGACAUUGGGAUGAUGAGAGAAACUGGAAAAUCUCAGAAAUGAGAUUUGCUUUAAAAUCGCAUAUUAGUGACAUAGACCUCAGGAUUCUGGUGGAUGGUAUGAUGAACCACUAUACUGAAAUCUAUCGCAUGAAAUAUUUUCCUUUUGUUAAGAUUGUCACUGAAUAA